rnacentral:RNase_P_RNA from 1 species
AAAGCAAAUCGUUCUAUCGCUCUGCAGCUCUGCUGCAGGGAGGAAAGUCCGGGCAACACAGAGUGUCCUGCCCCGUGAAUAGCGGGGGUAUUCCGCAGAAAUGCUGAAUAACAGAAAGUGCCGCAGAGAAUAGUAGCCAUGUAGCAUGUACUGCAUGGUCAUAGUGAAAACGUGAGGUAAGAGCUCACGAACUGUUGUGGCAACAUACAGUUGGGUAAACCUCGGGAGUUGAAAGGUCAAAUAAGUCCCGAUUUUGAAGUUACUCGCUUCAAUUUCACUUCGGUGAGUAUCGGGAUGGGUAGAUCGCUUGAUCCUGUUCAGCAAUGAUCAGGACAGAUAAAUGAUAGAAACCCGGCCGAAAGGCGGGGAUACAGAACCCGGCUUACAGGUUUGCACAAAAU